rnacentral:misc_RNA from 1 species
AAGUCGUAACAAGGUCUCCGUUGGUGAACCAGCGGAGGGAUCAUUAAAAAACGAGUUUAACGACUCUGUAAACCCUUUGUGAACCUUACCAUCAUAUCUUGUUGCUUUGGCAGGCGGCCGCCUCCCCUCGGGGAGCGGCCACGCCACCCGGGCACACCUUCCCGGGCGCCUGCCAGACGACGAGCCAACCAAACUCUUGUUUCAUCUGAGCAAUCUGAGUAACAAAAACAAUAAAUUAAAACUUUCAACAACGGAUCUCUUGGUUCUG